CCUGUAUCUCUAUUCUCAACAACAGCAAAAAUACAUAAUGCCUAUCAUUCUGAACAGAACCCCCACAUUCGACCUAUCCCCAGAUGGCUUGGAUCUGAGCGCUCAAUAUAUCCAAACAGCGCUCAGAUGCCACAAACACAGUCAAAUCACCAAGGGGUUUAGGUUUAGCAUGGGCUGAUGAGAGGGGCUAUAGUCAUGAGGAAGGAGGCUGGCAAUAAGGCUUCUCCACAAGCCAAGGACACGGCAAUUUGUCACAUAAAAUCCCAGUUACAAACGGCAGUUUGUAACACCCACCAUUUAUGCAAUCCCUAUUCUUAAG